rnacentral:rRNA from 1 species
GGGGGAAUAUUGGGCAAUGGGCGCAAGCCUGACCCAGCAACGCCGCGUGAGGGAAGAAGGCUUUCGGGUUGUAAACCUCUGUCCUUGGUGACGAAAAAAAUGACGGUAGCCAAGGAGGAAGCCCCGGCUAACUACGUGCCAGCAGCCGCGGUAAUACGUAGGGGGCGAGCGUUGUCCGGAAUUACUGGGCGUAAAGGGUGCGUAGGCGGCCUAUUAAGUUGGAUGUGAAAUACCCGGGCUUAACUUGGGGGGUGCAUCCGAUACUGGCAGGCUAGAGUGCAGGAGAGGGAAGCGGAAUUCCUAGUGUAGCGGUGAAAUGCGUAGAUAUUAGGAGGAACACCAGUGGCGAAGGCGGCUUUCUGGACUGUAACUGACGCUGAGGCACGAAAGCGUGGGGAG